rnacentral:lncRNA from 1 species
GGAUGUCUGUGGGCACUGAAGUUUUCUCUUCAGACUGGAUAUGAGCCAGCAUCCCAGCACUUUGUGAGUUGAGUGUCAGGACAAGGUGCGACUUGAUUCUCCCAGAAAUCUUUCUUGUUUUAGAGAUAGCCUCCUGGGCCAGGGACUCUUAAGGACCAAAGUUCAAUUCCCACCACUCCCCAUUACACUGGGAACUUCAGAAUGUGUGAGUUCCACGUUUCCCGGUGCUGACAGAUCAGAGGAGGACCAGACGCGACAACAUGGCUGCUGCUGGAGGGGCUGAGAGGUGACUGAUUAGCUUAAGCCUGCACAGCCCGUGGAGGAAGCACCUCGUUCCUGCCUUCUCAAGUGAUAAAGUCUAUGCUGGAAUACAGAGCUCCCUGCUCUGAGCACCUAAAGUCUUGAUUUUUCUGGGGGAAAACUCUCUGUAGCUCUUUCUUCUAGUAAUGAAGUGCUGGGUUAUGCCUUUACUCCAGGGCCAUGAUUGAAAAAAAAUGUUAGAGGGAGAAAAUUGCAAGAUGAUCACCACAUUUUGUCCAAUUGAAAAGG